AAAAUGAGAGUGAAAUCUCCAACUGAUUUUGCAUGGAAAAUGUGUUUGUAUUUAUGUUGUUACAUGUACACAUCAGUAUAUUCUAUCCAGCUACUAGGAAGGAAGAAUAUUGCCAGCGAAAUGGUGCUGCGCACCGUUUCUUCGCUUGCGCACGGUUUCCCUAAAAUAUUCUAUGCGCACCGUGCUACCAGAGCGUCAAAAAUUAGCUGUUGAAUUAUCUCAGAUCUGAAACAAGCAAAUCUAAAAUCGAUGUUCCGGUUUGCAGCUGCUUGUAUAGCAGCUUGUGGACAAGUUGACAUGUAAGUUUUCUACCAGAAGAGAUGAGAG
rnacentral:misc_RNA from 1 species